UCCCUUCCCCCACCCCUUUCAGGUGGGGGCCGGCAGGGGCUCUCUUGCCAGGCAGAAGGGCCUCCACUUAUCUUUUCUGGUGGCAGGCAAAAUGGCUACUCCCUUGGUGGCACGGCUUCCCCCAGUGGACACUCUGCAGUACAACUCUCCCCUGUGGGCUUGCUGCCCCCGUGACCAUGCUCAUACUGUUUCUCCUGGAACAGCAUGCCCCUCCCUUUGCAUGUUAUGGGGAACAGUCCUUUUCCCAGGACUUCUAGUUCUUUUGGCCCAACCAAACACUGACCUUCCUUUAGUUAGGAGAAGAGGAAGCUGCACGUCAAAUUUGUGAGUUAACAGGUGAGUGCUAAAAAGGGAGUUUAGAGAGGGAGUUCUCCAGGUAAAGAAGCAGCAGAUACAGGACUCUUGAGGGAAGUAUGUGUUGUUACUGGGGCUUUCUUAUUGUGUGCUGAGCUUGUGUUUGUGAGUGAGGGUUGGUGUGUGUUCUUUUUUUGUUUGGUUUGGUUUGGUGUUUUCCCCUGUGUUUGUGAAUGAGGCUUUUUUUUUCCUCUACUUCCCUUUUGCCCUUCCCCUUUCCCCCUCCUCUUCAUGGAGUGUUUGCUGUGAUUCGCAGGUGGAAACUGUUGGCUUCUAAUUAAAGUUUGAAUUCUAGAAGCCUCUGCUGAUUGGCUGAGCCUUGGUAGGGGGAGGGACUUUCAGUCACUCCAAGGCUUUAUAAGGCCGUGGGCAAGUGACCAAGGAGCUUGCAAACAGAUCAUCUGCCGGUGGGGAAGGCAAUAUCUCGAAGACUGCUUCAUCCGGUCUAGUAGAUCUGGGUUUGUGUGAGUCCGAGUGAGAAGAAGAGCACUGCUCUGACUCUGUCUUCAGCUGAGGACGGUAGAAAAGGAACUGACGGGACUCGUGCCAUGAGCACACUCCACAAACGGCGGGGGCACAAAACACUAGGUGCACAUCCGCAGCGCAAGGGGCACUGCUCAGCAAAAUUCUCCGAUCCCAGGAGCAAGGAUGCACCGAGAUCUGAGUGGAGCACCCACAGGGACACCACUUGCUGAAGAACUCUACAUUACAGAAAGGAAGAAAGAGAAACAUUACUAAAAUAUUCAUAUCUUGAUAAAUUUCUCUUAUCCUAAGCCAAAUCUGUAUUACAAGUAUGACCUGCUCAAAGUUGUUCUUGAAGAGUCUCCCUCAAAUGACAGAUGCAUUCCACUUUCCACAUCCAAAAAGACACACUACAACAUCACCACUCAGGAUACUGUGGUACAAUAUCCAAAAAAAAUCUCUAUGCCAUUUUAGAUCAGAGAAGUGAAAAUGAAAAAGUUUCAGCAUUACAAACAUGAAGGUAAUACUGUAAAAACAGUAAAAGCAGAAGAGUGAAAACAGUUAAAUGCCUGAAAAUAGUUACUAAAUGAAUGUGUUACCAUAUGCCAUACAAAAAGUUUUCCAAGUAAAAGCAUAACAAAAAAAAGUUAAGAUGACAGAUUUGCUCAAUCUGACAAAGAAUCUUAGAAAUUAAAUAGCAUCUUAUGUAAAUGAAUUGAGUGUUUAUGCCCCAUAUCAACAAUGAACACAGAAAAUAAUACUUAGGGAAGUUGUUCCAGUCCCAGAGUAGGGAAGUAGUGAAGGAAGAGAUUUGCUACAAACCAGAUGCUGCAACACAUUCUAAAAAAACUGAAAUAAAGACACACAAAACUCAGAAAUUCAUAAGAAAUAAGGUUACACUUUUGCCCCCAACCAAUUCAUUUAUUGUUUGAGAACAAGACAAUCCUUGGCAGGCAUUCAUAUAUUUAGUUUACAAAUUCUGCUGAUGCCAUUCCCACAGGAUGUGAAUUGGUGAGAAUAGAUGGCUCUGAGGACCAACAAGUAACAAUCAGCAACACACGAUUAAAAAGAAGCUUCAAAGUGUCACAAAGAAGCCAAUACAUAGAUUAUCCUCUACACUGUGGAAGGUAUUUAGCAGUUCUACUAGUGACAAUAAUUCUCACAUCUAUUAAUUUGGGGGUGACACAAGGAUUAUGAAUGAAUUAAUCAACGGUUUGGAGGAAGGGGAGAAAUAUUCUUCUUAAAUCAGCUUUUGCACAUCCUCAUCUUUGAAGAUAAGCAUGUCACAAGUACACAGUGUCCUUUGAAGCCACUCAUCCUUCCUGCUUUCGGAGAUCCAAGCACUUCAAAUGGGGGAGGAUCAAUGUAACCGAUGGUACAGAAAUUUUGUGACCUUGAUUUUUCCCUUUGUUUUUACCUAUUUUUCCCUGCCAUUUAUGGUAUAGUUUUGUUUCUACAUCAGCUAGUCUUUUUGUACCUGACAUAAGCAGAAUUGAUACCCAGUAACUAGUCCAAGUCAACUUAGUUUGUAUCUGAGGAAUUGGCCCAAUUAUCUGCAAGUAAGUGCUCACAAACAUGGCUCUAUGGCUGGUACAAAAGACACUGGGGACCUUGGACUCAAUUCUGCCAAUAUGGGAUCAAACAUUCAGCAUUACUGCGAAAAGUUACUUAGUUUGACUAUGCCUAGCACACAUGGCAUCUAGGUCUCCAGCUUCACAUGGGUGGCAAAGUUCAGUGCAAAGAGCUUUCAGUGCAAAAAUACUGUUCACUAAAGGUAGUUCCACAGCUAGGUCUCCACUCUGUUCCUGGUAGAAAGAUUCUGCAGGGUAUGAAGCUCCACAAAGUGUACAUGCUAGGUACUAUUCGUCUACUCUUUAAGAAUUUCUCCCAGGCUUACCUAAAUUAUGACAGACACCACUAGAGUGAUGUAGUGCAACUACCAUUGAUGGAUUUGGUCUCGCUUGCCGUGUCAAAUCAUAUCCUCACCAUCAGAUUACUCCAAUUACUUAUUUUCGUGUAGAUAAAGUAUCAGAAUUCUUUAUUUAUGGAACUUUUAACCUUGGUUUGCCCUUUGGUAGAUUCAAGACUAAUCUAAACUAUGCAGAUCUCAAAACAAUUCUACAUAGUAAGAUUUCUUACUAUCUUCCAUGGACAAGAAGCUUAAAUGGAAAAUGGUUUGAAGAGAAGACCUGACAACAGUAGCCUGACAAAUGCCUCUACGCAACUAUGUAGACUAUGAAAAAGGCUUCAAUUUAAUUUUCUGUCCUAAAUUGUACAAUAUACCUAAUCUUUUAGCAAUGAAAAAAAGAACUGACAUAUAGACUUUCUUAAAUGGCUAGAUUUAUAGUAAUUAUUUAUUUUAUAAACAAAUGGGUAAAGUACAUACACUCUUUUACUUUUACAUAUUUCAUUAUAUACAGAGAAGAGCUGGUGCUAUUUCCCAAAACACUGAAGACAGACUGCUCUUUAAAAACAGUUUCAGUCCAAAUGACUGUAACUGUUUUCUUAAAGCCCACCCCGAGUCCAGGUGGUACACUGUCCUAAGUGGGAGCUCCGCUCCCCGUCUGGGCCUCUGGCCUUAUGGCAGCACUUGCGCCGCCGGGGCGGAUCGAGCCUAUGUGUCUCCCCAGGGGGACCGGGAAGGGGGCUCGGGCCCUCCCUCACUCCGAGCCCCGACCCAGGGCCCUGAGAAAGGGGACAUGCGUCCCCUGUCAGUGGAGGGGGUCAAGUUUCCCCCCAAUCCUCCACUCGCGGGGUUUCGCGGCCCUGCCCUGGGUCCCUUCUUCCCGGUCAAUGUUUUAUGGAUUCCCCCAGCGUGGGGACAAGCUUACCCUCCGUCCGCUUCAGAUGCCUCCUGGACGCCCGGACUCCUCAGGGUUGGGGUCCUUCCGCCGGUCCUGGGACUCCCCCCGGAGUCGGGCACUCUCCUCCUCCUCCCGGCUGAGGCCGGGGCCUUUUUGAAUUCCCCGCUCCUUGGCGCCUUGGCCUGACGUCACCACCGUGUCCCGGUCCCCGCCCUGCUUGCUAUCUUGGCCGGCGCCUUUGCUGACGUCAUCCCCUAGCGCCGGCUCGGGCCGUCCAUUAUCGGCCGUGCUGGUGCUCGGCGCUACCGCCCCGCGCUCCGUGGCGCAAUUCCCGUCACCCAAUCUCCCCUCCCGGUCUCUGCCCCCCUCCUUGGGGCCUGUCUCAGUGCGGGGUCGGGUGGGGGGUCCGCCUACCCCGUCACAAUGACACAAAUUGAUAAUAAUAAAUUAAGAUUACAAAAAUGUAAUGAUGUCAUGUCACAGAUUUUGUAAGGCACUGACUUAGAACCACAUGACAUUUUGGUUAAAAAAAAUUAGAAAGACAGAAAAUGAAUAAGUUCAUUUACACUCAUUAGAUUGAUUAAUAACCAGCUAACAGAGAUCUCAAAAUGUAACUGCAACUGGGGAAUCUUUAAGCAAAUGCAUCUCGACUGGAAUAUUGCAUGAAUUGGUUCUUGGUGCUCUGUUAGUUAACACUUUUAUCAGUAGCCUGGAAGAAAAAGUCACUAGGAAAAAUUCUGAAGAUGACACCAGAAUUGUAGUAAAUAAUGUUGGAAACAAGUCACGGUAUAGAGUGACCUAGAUUGCUUAAUACACCGGGCACAAGUAAAUUAUAAGUAUUUUAAUACAACUAAAUGUAAAGUUAUACACCUAAUAACAAACACCAUAGUUACAAGAUAGGGUACUCUAUCCUAGGAAGCAAUGACUGAAAUAGAUAUGGGGAUCAGGAACUGAGUUCCCGGUACAACAUGGUGGCCAAAAGAACUAAUGUGAUUCUCAAGAGGCAGUUCUAGCAGCUGAAGAUCAGCUAGGCAUGUUAAUACAUUGUCCACGCCACCAUGACAGCUCUCAAGUGUGCAAAGAUUCCCUCAAAAACUAAUAUAAUUUAUACCAUUAUAGAACUACCAGGCACCAAAGAGGUACAAUUUGCAUUGCUGUUAAACAGCCUGAAUACUUUUAUUUUAAAGUUACAGAGAUUUCUUUGGGGAUGGUGGAACGGUUGCUAUCCCACAUGGGAAAAGUAACAAGCUAUUGAAAAUGAUGUUCUCUAUGCCAUAUCUUAGUCUGAUGUAAAAUAAAAGAUUGAAUCCUAAACUAUUCCUCUCCCACACUAUCCUGUCACAUACACACACACCAAAAAUAUCAGAUUAACGACAAUAACCCUAUGAGAUACCAUUAUAAACCUAGUUUUAUCCAUUAAGGAACACAUUUUUCAAGCUAACCAAUGAGAAAAAUCUGCCACUGAUUUCUAACACCAUUAUUGCCUCCAUGGGUGUCAAGGCUGUUCCCCACUCUGGCACUUCAAGUGCAGAGGAUGGGGGGGGGCACAAGAAACUUUAAAAUACCCUUCUGCUUAAAAAUUCCCCAGGGUCAUAGAUUCCCUGACCUUGGGUGAUAUGGCGGCAACACCCAUUCUCUUUGAGAAUCUAGAAGGACACACUUGGGAAUUUCUUCCUGUGGGGUACCCUCAAGUUCUUUAACCGUCCAUCUGGAGAGAGCUUGAAAACAAACUAACAUCUUAAUUGCAGACCUUUCAGUCCCAGGAACAUGCACACAGAACCUCCUGUCUUCAAGGGCACAGGAAUCAGAUCGUAGUCUUAAAAAUGUAAUUUUAUUAACAAAACAAAGAAAUCAUAUUUGGUAAAGCACACUUGUGCCUCUUGCGCCACUCAUUUGAAGAAAUGGGUUGUGCCCACGAAAGCUCAUAAUUAAUACAGGUGACCCCCGACUUACGACCACCCUAUUUACGAAUCCCUGCAUUUAUGACUUUUUUUUAAGACAAUCUUCUUGUAUGUCUGUAAUGGGAAGUAAGACUUUCCCCUCCUGCACAUGCACCUUGCCCCUCCUGUACAUGAGCCAGCUACAACUCCUGCAGCAGGCAUGCUUUGCCACCUGGCUAUUUCAAUGAGGCAGGUGGCUCCCACAAGCUCUGGCUCCCAGAAGGCCGCCCAGCUUCUGUAGGCAGCCCUGCCUGCCUCUGUGCCGGGACGAGGGAUAGCUCAGUGGU